GAUGAACGCUGGCGGCGUGCCUAAUACAUGCAAGUCGAGCGAACGGACGAGAAGCUUGCUUCUCUGAUGUUAGCGGCGGACGGGUGAGUAACACGUGGAUAACCUACCUAUAAGACUGGGAUAACUUCGGGAAACCGGAGCUAAUACCGGAUGAUAUUUUGAACCGCAUGGUUCAAAAGUGAAAGACGGUCUUGCCGUCACUUAUAGAUGGAUCCGCGCUGCAUUAGCUAGUUGGUAAGGUAACGGCUUACCAAGGCAACGAUGCAUAGCCGACCUGAGAGGGUGAUCGGCCACACUGGAACUGAGACACGGUCCAGACUCCUACGGGAGGCAGCAGUAGGGAAUCUUCCGCAAUGGGCGAAAGCCUGACGGAGCAACGCCGCGUGAGUGAUGAAGGUCUUCGGACCGUAAAACUCUGUUAUUAGGGAAGAACAUAUGUGUAAGUAACUGUGCACAUCUUGACGGUACCUAAUCAGAAAGCCACGGCUAACUACGUG
rnacentral:rRNA from 1 species